rnacentral:rRNA from 1 species
AAAGUGUGCAAGAANGUAUAACUCACNUACGUCAGGUCAAAGUGCAGCCAAUGAGCGGGUGAUGAUGGGUUACACUCUAAACAAAGCCUCAAACUAGCGCACUAAAAGCCCUAUGAAGAUGGACUUGGAUGUAAUACUGAUACAAUAUCAAAAUGAAUACUGAUCUAAGACAUGCACACAUCGCCCGUCACUCUCUCCUAAAGGAG